CAAAUUUAUCCUCAGGGCGAGAAAACACUCAAACACGAAGGGUGACAAGGGGCUCUGUAUCAUCAUCAAGGGAUAAUACCAUCAUUGCAUACAAGAAUCAGCAGAGUAGACAACCAACAUCAGAAAAUGACGUGACAAAUAUUGUACAACAAAGUAACAGUA